AGGAAAGUGUAUUAAGGUUAGGUAGGUUAGAUAGUAAGGUUAGCUAGUAAGGUUAGGUCAGGCUGUAAUGUUUGGUUGGGUUAAUUGAGGUUAAGUUAGGUACGAUAGGUAGUAAGGCUUGAUAGGUGGGUAGUAAAUUUAGGUAGUAAGGUGAGUGAUGAUGAAGGUUAGAGUAGAUAGUAAAGGGGUUCAAGAGGGCUUACAAUAGCGUUGAUAGGGGUGGUAGAGGGUCAAGGAGGGCGGAAGGUAUCGAUGAGAGAAUAGGGUGAAGGGAAGAAAGGCUAUGGGUGAUAUAGGUCGAAAGGGUUGAAGGAUACACGUUAUAGAGACUGAGGUGGGGCUGUGGGUGGAAGGGAUUGAAUUAUUUAUCGAGGGAGCUGAAUGCAUGGCUUUGUCUGUCUGGAUGGUAAGAGAAGGCUAGUCGAUUCUUUAUAAUCUAUCUACCUGUUUUUGAUCUACCUGUCUCUGUCGGUCUGUUUCUUCAUAAUUUUGUUUUCAUUCUAUCUACGAGUUUGAGUGUCUUUGUGUUGGGUUGGUAAUUUGGUAUGUGUCAGUUAAUAUGUCUGACUUUUUAUCUUUCUGUCUGUAAGUCUGUCUGUUCUGUCUGUGUGUAUGUAUGUAAGUCUGUUUUGUCUGCCUGUCUCUGUCUGUGUCUCUGUUUCCAGGCUGCAGAUUUUAAUAGCGAGACAAAAACAUUAACAAAAUUGAUAUACCUAAAGCAGAUGAUUGAAUUUCCUACACUAAACUGUUGAUCGCAUUGUGUGUGUGCGUGUGUGUGUGUGUGUGUGUGUGUGUGUGUGUGUGUGUGUGUGUGUGUGUGUGUGUGUGUGUGUGUGUUGAGAAGGGGGGGAGAGGCUGUGCAGUAAUGUGCGAGGUGUCUUUUCUCUUCAUUUGCGCUUUCCUUAAAAAAAAAAAGCUAUAUAAAACUUUCCCUUUUUUUCAGAGACUCGUAAUUAAACUGUGAGGACGUCAACACAAUCUCAUCUCCAUUGCGCUCUUCUGAUGUUUUUUUUCCAGGAAAUUACUCAUGACAAUUAAUCCCUUUGUGUUUGCAGGUGUCUGUGUGUGUGUGUGUGUGUGUGUGUGUGUGUGUGUGUGUGUGUGUGUGUGUAAUAAAUGGCUUCUAAUGACAUUCCUCUCGUCACUUCCUGUUUCUCGUUUUUCAUCUUUAAGUAAUUCAUUUAUCGUAAGCACUGAUUUUUUCAACUCUAUUCGCUUUUCUUUAAAGUUAUGAUUUGUAGUGCUACAUCUCUUUUUCUCUCUAUUUACCUCUCAGUCUAUCUCUCGCGCAUUGCUUAACCCCGCCGUGACCUCUGACCUCUGCCGUGUAUAGGAGACGCAGCAUGGUGACAAUCAAAUAUGGAUGCUGGACAAGGGCAGAGGACAAGGAAGGGAAGGUCACAGAAUAACGAGACGCCAUGAGGAUCGGGAGUUUCGUGGAUGUCGAGAAGGAAGGUCUGGAGGUGUUGGGGUUUGAAAUGUGGAGGGACUGGAGGUACUGGAGGUAGGAAAGGAAGGUCUGGAGGUGUUGGAGGUAGGAAAGAAAGGUCUGGAGGUGUUGGAGGUAGGAAAGGAAGGUCUGGAGGUGUUGGAGGUAGGAAAGGAAGGUCUGGAGGUGUUGGAGGUAGGAAAGGAAGGUCUGGAGGUGUUGGAGGUAGGAAAGAAAGGUCUGGAGGUGUUGGAGGUAGGAAAGAAAGGUCUGGAGGUGUUGGAGGUAGGAAAGAAAGGUCUGGAGGUGUUGGAGGUAGGAAAGGAAGGUCUGGAGGUGUUGGAGGUAGGAAAGGAAGAUCUGGAGGUGUUGGAGGUAGGAAAGGAAGGUCUGGAGGUGUUGGAGGUAGGAAAGAAAGAUCUGGAGGU